rnacentral:sRNA from 1 species
AGUAUGUGUUGGGGGAUCUAACAAGGGCAGGACCUAGACUCGUUCAGUGCAAUGACCGAGAUGUAGGUUCAGGAGCAUUUGCCAGUGGCUUGAUCUCGUGCUUGACCCCGCCUAGUUCAGUGCAGGUAAUGAGAUGUGGGCUCAGGAGUGUUUCCCGCAGCUUGAAUAUGGGAAGGACCCAGCCUUCUUCAAAGCAGGGACCAAGACGUGGGCUCAGGAGUCUGUGUUGGGGUAUAUAACAAGGGCAGGACCUAGACUUCUUCAGUGAAGUGACCUAGAGGUGGGCUCAGGAGCAUUUUGCGGAGGCUUGAGUAAAUGCUGGACCCAGCUAGUUCAGUACAGGGAAUGAGAUGUGGACUCAGGAGUGUUUCCCGCGGCUUGAACAUGGGAAGAACCCGGCCUUUUUCCAAACAGUGACCAAGAUAUGGGCUCAUGAGUGUUUGUCGGGGUCUUCAACUAGGGCAAAACCCAGCCAAGUUCAGUGCAGGGGCUGAUAUGUAGGCUCAGGAGUGUUUGUCAGG